rnacentral:rRNA from 1 species
GAUGAACGCUGGCGGCGUGCCUAAUACAUGCAAGUCGAGCGAAUGGAUUAAGAGCUUGCUCUUAUGAAGUUAGCGGCGGACGGGUGAGUAACACGUGGGUAACCUGCCCAUAAGACUGGGAUAACUCCGGGAAACCGGGGCUAAUACCGGAUAACAUUUUGAACCGCAUGGUUCGAAAUUGAAAGGCGGCUUCGGCUGUCACUUAUGGAUGGACCCGCGUCGCAUUAGCUAGUUGGUGAGGUAACGGCUCACCAAGGCAACGAUGCGUAGCCGACCUGAGCUGGUGAUCGGCCACGCAGGGGCUGAAACCCGGCCCAGACUCCGACGGGAGGCAGCAGUAGGGAAUCUUCCGCAAGGGACGAAAGUCUGACGGAGCAACGCCGCGUGAGUGAUGAAGGCUUUCGGGUCGUAAAACUCUGUUGUUAGGGAAGAACAAGUGCUAGUUGAAUAAGCUGACACCUUGACGGUACCUAACCAGAAAGCCACGGCUAACUACGUGCCAGCCGCCGCCGUAA